rnacentral:lncRNA from 10 species
CUCUCUUUCUCCUUCCUUCCUUCCUUCUCCCUCCUCCUCCUCCUUCUUCUUCUUCUUCCUCUUCUUCUUUCCCUCCCUCCCUCCCUGCCUUCCUUUCUCUCUUUCUCUCUCUCUCCUUCUUCUCCCUCUCUCUCUCUCUCCUUCUCUCUCCCUCUCUCUCUCUCUCCUUCUUCUCCCUCUCUCUCUCUCUCCUUCUCUCUCCCUCUCUCUCUCCUUCUCUCUCCCUCUCCUUCUCUCUUUCUUUCUUUUUUUGACAGAGUUUCACUCUUCUUGCCCAGGCUGGAGUGCAAUGGCCUGGUCUUGGCUCACUGCAACCUCUGUGUCUUGGGUUCAAGCGAUUCUCCUGUCUCAGUCUCCUGAGUAGCUGGGAUUACAGGCAUGCGGCAACACGCCCAGCUAAUUUUUGUAUUUUUAGUAGAGAUAGGGUUUCACCAUGUUGGCCAGGCUGGUCUCGAGCUCCCGACCUCAGGUGAUCCGCCCACCUCUGCCUCCCAAAGUGCUGGGAUUACAGGCGUGAACCAUCGUGGCCUGGGCAAAUUCUACCUUUCCCUUGAGAAAAGCAAGAAAACCGAGGAAUGCAAGUCCUGUUAAAUGAUCAGACCCAGAGAGACAUUGAAGUGAGCCAGCCCUGGCAUCCUCCUUCACCCCCAGCUGCACAUUCAUCUAUUGAAGCUGCCUGCUGCUGCCACAGGUCAACACCGUCACCACUCAACUGAUAUCUUACUGCUUUUAUGAAGCCUUCCUUGAUUCCUCCGGCGGGGUGAUACCUCUCAGUAUCUUCCAUGAAUCUUUUGAGAGAAGUGAUAUGACGUCCAUUCUACAGAUGAGGAGAUUAAGGCUCAGGGCAGUUCCUCAACAUACCCAAGGUCACCUGGCUGGUAAGCAGUAG